CACGUAGGAGACAAGCGUUAUUCGGAUUUACUGGGCGUAAAGCGCGUGCAGGCGGUCUGACAAGUUGGAUGUGAAAGCUCCUGGCUUAACUGGGAGAGGUCGUUCAAAACUAUCAGACUAGAGAGUGGUAGAGGAAGGCGGAAUUCCGGGUGUAGUGGUGAAAUGCGUAGAUAUCCGGAGGAACACCAGUGGCGAAAGCGGCCUUCUGGACCAAUUCUGACGCUCAGACGCGAAAGCUAGGGUAGCGAACGGG
rnacentral:rRNA from 1 species